rnacentral:rRNA from 1 species
GAUGAACGCUAGCGGAAGGCUUAAUACAUGCAAGUCGAGCGGUAGGUGGCUUCGGCCAUUGAGAGCGGCGCACGGGUGAGUAACGCGUACAUGACCUGCCUGUCAGAAGGGGAUAGCCCUGGGAAACUGGGAUUAAUACCCUAUGGUAUUGAUAUUAUGAAUGAUAUCAAUUAAAGUUGAGGCGCUGACAGAUGGAUGUGCGUCUGAUUAGCUAGUUGGUAGGGUAACGGCCUACCAAGGCGACGAUCAGUAGGGGGCGUGAGAGCGUGGUCCCCCACACGGGUACUGAGACACGGACCCGACUCCUACGGGAGCAGCAGUAAGGAAUAUUGGUCAAUGCCCGCAAGGGUGAACCAGCCAUUCCGCGUGGAGGAUGAAGGCCCUAUGGGUUGUAAACUUCUUUUAGAUGGGAAGAAAAUGCUAGAUGUAUCUGGUACUGACGGUACCAUCAGAAUAAGCACCGGCUAAACUCCGUGCCAGCAGCC